rnacentral:rRNA from 1 species
UACGUAGGGGGCAAGCGUUGUCCGGAAUUAUUGGGCGUAAAGAGCGCGUAGGCGGUCCGGUAAGUCGGUUGUGAAAGUCGGGGGGCUCAACCCUCGGAUGCCGAUCGAUACUGUCGGGCUAGAGUCCGGAAGAGGCGAGUGGAAUUCCUGGUGUAGCGGUGAAAUGCGCAGAUAUCAGGAGGAACACCAAUGGCGAAGGCAGGUCUCUGGGCCACUACUGACGCUGAGAAGCGAAAGCAUGGGGAGCGAACAGG